AUGAGUCCCGUGAUGUCUACACCAACUAGAGAGGAAGCUAAUGAUGAUGAUCAUGAAACUUUUGAUCAAGUUACUACUGGACCUAGUAGGUUAAACAGAGCAUGUUCCACACCAGAGUGGUACGGUAAUCCUGUCCUAAAAGUCAUGUUACUAGACCAUGACGAACCUACAAACUAUGAAGAAGCUAUGAUGAGCCCAGAUUCUGAUAAAUGGCUUGAGGCCAUGAAAUCGGAGAUAGGAUCCAUGUAUGAGAACAAAGUGUGGACUUUGGUGGACUUGCCCGAUGCUCAGCAGGAUCUUCAAGAAGAAGACAAAUGCUGA
rnacentral:rRNA from 1 species